rnacentral:rRNA from 1 species
AUUAGUGGCGGACGGGUGAGUAACGCGUGGAUAACCUGCCGUAUACAGGGGGAUAACACUUAGAAAUAGGUGCUAAUACCGCAUAAGCGCACGGUUCCGCAUGGAACAGUGUGAAAAACUCCGGUGGUAUACGAUGGAUCCGCGUCUGAUUAGCCAGUUGGCGGGGUAACGGCCCACCAAAGCGACGAUCAGUAGCCGGCCUGAGAGGGUGAACGGCCCACAUUGGGACUGAGACACGGCCCAAACUCCUACGGGAGGCAGCAG